GACGAACGCUGGCGGCGUGCUUAACACAUGCAAGUCGAGCGGUAAGGCCCUUUCGGGGGGUACACGAGCGGCGAACGGGUGAGUAACACGUGGGUGACCUGCCCUCAGCUCUGGGAUAAGCCUGGGAAACCGGGUCUAAUACUGGAUAUGACUCCAUGACGCAUGUUGUGGGGUGGAAAGCCUUGUGCGGCUGAGGAUGGGCCCGCGGCCUAUCAGCUUGUUGGUGGGGUGAUGGCCUACCAAGGCGACGACGGGUAGCCGGCCUGAGAGGGCGACCGGCCACACUGGGACUGAGACACGGCCCAGACUCCUACGGGAGGCAGCAGUGGGGAAUCUUGCGCAAUGGGCGAAAGCCUGACGCAGCGACGCCGCGUGAGGGAUGACGGCCUCGGU
rnacentral:rRNA from 1 species